rnacentral:tRNA from 1 species
UAGGGCAGCCUGGUAGCCCGCGGGGCUCAUAACCCCGAGGUCGGUGGUUCAAAUCCACC